rnacentral:rRNA from 1 species
GACGAACGCUGGCGGCGUGCUUAACACAUGCAAGUCGAACGGUGAAGCUCCAGCUUGCUGGAGUGGAUCAGUGGCGAACGGGUGAGUAACACGUGAGCAACCUGCCCCUGACUCUGGAAUAAGCGCUGGAAACGGCGUCUAAUACUGGAUACGAGAAGGGUCCGCAUGGGCACUUUCUGGAAAGUUUUUCGGUUGGGGAUGGGCUCGCGGCCUAUCAGCUUGUUGGUGAGGUAAUGGCUCACCAAGGCGACGACGGGUAGCCGGCCUGAGCGGGCGACCGGCCACACUGGGACUGAGACACGGCCCAGACUCCUACGGGAGGCAGCAGUGGGGAAUAUUGCACAAUGGGCGGAAGCCUGAUGCAGCGACGCCGCGUGAGGGAUGACGGCCUUCGGGUUGUAAACCUCUUUCAGCAGGGAAGAAGCGAAAGUGACGGUACCUGCAGAAGAAGCACCGGCUAACUACGUG